rnacentral:lncRNA from 1 species
GUAAAAGUCAAGGCAGGAUUUCUUGGAUCUGUGAGACUCAAGGUUCUACCCCUAACAUCUGACUUCUGAAUGAGUUAUUUUGAAGUUUUGAAUACCUGAAAGUGAACUGAGUAUAUUGGUUGUUCUUGGCUGCGGAUGCUUUUGUUUACGACUUUAGUAUUUUGAACUCGAGGGCAUAUUUAUAAUAUUUUGAAUCCGUUUCAGUUGUGUUACGCCACUGUUGUGUGAUUUUGGAAAUUUAGUUCACACAUCACAGUGAUUAAUAUAACGG